rnacentral:tRNA from 3 species
UGAGCCAUCGUCUAACGGUAGGACAGCGGAUUCUGGUUCCGUCAAUGGGAGUUCGAUUCUCUCUGGCUCAGCCA